rnacentral:rRNA from 1 species
GGGAGGGCCGGCCUGCUUACCAUGCAAGUCGAACGGAGCACCCUUGAAAGAGAUUUCGGUCAAUGGAUAGGAAUGCUUAGUGGUGGACGGGUGAGUAACGCGUGAGGAACCUGCCUUUCAGAGGGGGACAACAGCUGGAAACGGCUGCUAAUACCGCAUAACACAUAGGUGUCGCAUGGCAUUUAUGUCAAAGAUUUAUCGCUGAGAGAUGGCCUCGCGUCUGAUUAGCUAGUUGGUAGGGUAACGGCCUACCAAGGCGACGAUCAGUAGCCGGACUGAGAGGUUGGCCGGCCACAUUGGGACUGAGAUACGGCCCAGACUCCUACGGGAGGCAGCAGUGGGGAAUAUUGGGCAAUGGGCGCAAGCCUGACCCAGCAACGCCGCGUGAAGGAAGAAGGCUUUCGGGUUGUAAACUUCUUUUAAGAGGGAAGAGUAGAAGACGGUACCUCUUGAAUAAGCCACGGCUAACUACGUGCCAGCAGCCGCGGUAAUACGUAGGUGGCAAGCGUUGUCCGGAUUUACUGGGUGUAAAGGGCGUGUAGCCGGGCCGGCAAGUCAGAUGUGAAAUCCCAAGGCUCAACCUUGGAACUGCAUUUGAAACUGUUGGUCUUGAGUAUCGGAGAGGCAGGCGGAAUUCCUAGUGUAGCGGUGAAAUGCGUAGAUAUUAGGAGGAACACCAGUGGCGAAGGCGGCCUGCUGGACGACAACUGACGGUGAGGCGCGAAAGCGUGGGGAGCAAACAGGAUUAGA